GUUGGACGUGACCGGUUGUAUUCAGGUUCCAUUGACCAGACCAUAAGGGUGUGGGACUUGCACACUCUGGAGUGUGUUCAGGAACUUGUUGGACACACUGAUGUGGUGAUGUCACUUCUUUGCUGGGACCAGUACUUGAUAUCAUGUUCAUUGGAUCAGACAGUUAAGGUCUGGGGGGCCACUGAAGGAGGCAGCUUGGAAGUUGUGUAUGCACAUCAUGAGGACCAUGGUAUUCUUGCACUUUCAGGGAUGAGUGAUGGCGGGGGCAAGCCAGUCCUCGUUUGUGCAUGCAC